GUCAAUACCGCAUAAGACCACAGAUUGGCAUCAAUCAGGGGUCAAAGCAGUAAUGCGUUUCGGGAUGGUCCUGCGGCCUAUCACGGUAGUUGGUGGGGUAACGGCCUACCAAGCCUAUGACGGGUAUCCGGCCUGAAAGGGUGAACGGACACACUGGAACUGAGACACGGUCCAGACUCCUACGGGAGGCAGCAGUGGGGAAUUUUGGACAAUGGGGGAAACCCUGAUCCAGCGACGCCGCGUGGAGGACGAAGGCCUUCGGGUUGUAAACUCCUCUAGGUGGGGACGAAAAAAAUGACGGUACCCACAGAAUAAGCCACGGCUAACUACGUGCCAGCAGCCGCGGUAAUACGUAGGUGGCGAGCGUUGCUCGGAAUUACUAGGCGUAAAGCGUAUGUAGGCGGUCGAAUAAGUCCUCGGUGAAAUCCGGCUCAACCGGAAAGGGCACGAGGAUACUGUUUGGCUUGAGUGUGGCAGGGAAGACGGAAUUCCUGUGUAGCGGUGAAAUGCGUAGAUCU
rnacentral:rRNA from 1 species